rnacentral:rRNA from 1 species
CGGGUGGAAACAUACCUUAUUGUUGCCUCGGCGGAUCAGCCCGCUCCCCGUAAAACGGGACGGCCCGCCAGAGGACCCAAACUCUAUUGUAUUUAGUGUAUCUUCUGAGUAACACAAACAAAUAAAUCAAAACUUUCAACAACGGAUCUCUUGGUUCUGGCAUCGAUGAAGAACGCAGCAAAAUGCGAUAAGUAAUGUGAAUUGCAGAAUUCAGUGAAUCAUCGAAUCUUUGAACGCACAUUGCGCCCGCCAGUAUUCUGGCGGGCAUGCCUGUUCGAGCGUCAUUUCAACCCUCAAACCCCCGGGUUUGGUGUUGGGGAUCGGAUUGCUAGUCAAUCCGUCUCCGAAAUCUAGUGGCGGUCUCGCUGCAGCCUCCAUUGCGUAGUAGCUAACACCUCGCAACUGGAACGCGGCGCGGCCAUGCCGUUAAACACCCAACUUCUGAAUGUUGACCUCGGAUCAGGUAGGAAUACCCGCUGAACUUAAGCAUAUCAAUAAGGCGGAGGAA